rnacentral:rRNA from 1 species
GCCGGGGCUUCUUCUGCAGGUACCGUCAUCAUCGUCCCCGCUGAAAGAGUUUUACAACCCUAGGGCCUUCUUCACUCACGCGGCAUGGCUGGAUCAGGGUUUCCCCCAUUGUCCAAUAUUCCCC